AAAGAGCGUAUGUUUUUCUACACACCCAAUUGUAUGUCUAUAGAAUGUCUUUUUACGAUUACUGAGCGCUUCUUCGAGAAGAUGGUCAGUAAGUAAAGUUAAUACAACUUUCAGCAAUGGAUCUCUUGGCUCUCGCAUCGAUGAAGAACGCAGCGAAUUGCGAUACGUAAUGUGAAUUGCAGAUUUUCAGUGAAUCAUCGAAUCUUUGAACGCACCUUGCGCUCCUUGGUAUUCCGAGGAGCAUGCCUGUUUGAGUGUCAUUAAAUUCUCAACUCCCUUUGAUUUUGUUAUCGGAGGAAGCUUGGAUAGUGGGUUUGCUGGUGAAGUUAAUCAUCGGCUUUCCUUAAAUGCAUUGGCAAAGGCGAAGGCAUGAUAACGUCUUUCGGUGUGAUAAUGAUCGCCGUGGAUGGAAGUGUCCUAGUUUCGUACUGUGCCUAUAACCCCUUUGCGUUGUUGCUUGUAAUGAAGUGAUGAUGCUAUCGAACCCUGAACCUUUUUGACCUCAAAUCAGGUAGGACUACCCGCUGAACUUAAGC
rnacentral:rRNA from 1 species